GGGAUAACACUUGGAAACAGGUGCUAAUACCGCAUAACCACAGUUACCGCAUGGUAACUAUGUAAAAGGUGGCUAUGCUACCGCUUUUGGAUGGGCCCGCGGCGCAUUAGCUAGUUGGUGGGGUAAAGGCUUACCAAGGCAAUGAUGCGUAGCCGAACUGAGAGGUUGAUCGGCCACAUUGGGACUGAGACACGGCCCAAACUCCUACGGGAGGCAGCAGUAGGGAAUCUUCCACAAUGGGCGAAAGCCUGAUGGAGCAACGCCGCGUGGGUGAAGAAGGUCUUCGGAUCGUAAAACCCUGUUGUUAGAGAAGAAAGUGCGUGAGAGUAACUGUUCACGUUUCGACGGUAUCUAACCAGAAAGCCACGGCUAACUACGUGCCAGCAGCCGCGGUAAUACGUAGGUGGCAAGCGUUAUCCGGAUUUAUUGGGCGUAAAGGGAACGCAGGCGGUCUUUUAAGUCUGAUGUGAAAGCCUUCGGCUUAACCGGAGUAGUGCAUUGGAAACUGGGAGACUUGAGUGCAGAAGAGGAGAGUGGAACUCCAUGUGUAGCGGUGAAAUGCGUAGAUAUAUGGAAGAACACCAGUGGCGAAAGCGGCUCUCUGGUCUGUAACUGACGCUGAGGUUCGAAAGCGUGGGUAGCAAACAGGAUUAGAUACCCUGGUAGUCCACGCCGUAAAC
rnacentral:rRNA from 1 species